rnacentral:rRNA from 1 species
UAGGGAAUAUUGCGCAAUGGAGGAAACUCUGACGCAGCGACGCCGCGUGGGUGAUGAAGGCUUUCGGGUCGUAAAGCCCUGUCGAGUGGGACGAAAGACGAUGUGGCUAAUAUCCACGUCGAGUGACGGUACCACUAAAGGAAGCACCGGCUAACUACGUGCCAGCAGCCGCGGUAAUACGUAGGGUGCAAGCGUUGCUCGGAAUCAUUGGGCGUAAAGAGCGUGUAGGUGGCUAGAUAAGUCGGGUGUGAAAUCCCUUGGCUCAACCAAGGAAGUGCAUUCGAAACUAUCUAGCUCGAGGAUGGCAGAGGAAGGUGGAAUUCCUAGUGUAGAGGUGAAAUUCGUAGAUAUUAGGAGGAAUACCGGUGGCGAAGGCGGCCUUCUGGACCAUUCCUGACACUGAGACGCGAAAGCGUGGGUAGCAAACAGG